GACGUAGGGCGCGAGCGUUGUCCGGAUUUAUUGGGCGUAAAGAGCUCGUAGGCGGCUUGGCGCGUCGACCGUGAAAACUUGGGGCUCAACCCCAAGCCUGCGGUCGAUACGGGCAGGCUCGAGUUCGGUAGGGGAGACUGGAAUUCCUGGUGUAGCGGUGAAAUGCGCAGAUAUCAGGAGGAACACCGAUGGCGAAGGCAGGUCUCUGGGCCGAUACUGACGCUGAGGAGCGAAAGCGUGGGGAGCGAACAGG
rnacentral:rRNA from 1 species